GUGCCAGCAGCCGCGGUAAUACGGAGGGUGCAAGCGUUAAUCGGAAUUACUGGGCGUAAAGCGCACGCAGGCGGUUUGUUAAGUCAGAUGUGAAAUCCCCGGGCUCAACCUGGGAACUGCAUUUGAAACUGGCAAGCUUGAGUCUUGUAGAGGGGGGUAGAAUUCCAGGUGUAGCGGUGAAAUGCGUAGAGAUCUGGAGGAAUACCGGUGGCGAAGGCGGCCCCCUGGACAAAGACUGACGCUCAGGUGCGAAAGCGUGGGGAGCAAACAGGAUUAGAAACCCCAGUAGUCC
rnacentral:rRNA from 1 species